GGGUGAUUGCAGCGUUCACCCGUCUAUAAAAGCGAUCCGAUAUUACUAAAGGUUUGUCAGUAACAACUCAACAAUAACAACGAACGCUCCCUAAAUAAGAUUGAAUUUGGUCUUAAGAGAAAAAUCCGCGACACCAUGAAGUCAACGAUGCUGUUUCUCGUCAUUCUUCUUGUCGCAUUGGUUGCACAAGGUCAACCAGCAGGAUUCUGUAAAGAUUUGGAGGACGCUUGUGAACGCAAUCGUGGCGACUUUCUGUGGUGCGAUACUAUUCUAGAGGUUAAGGCAUCUUGCUUUAUUUGGGACUCUCCUGACAAUUAUUUCGAAACCACGUGUGAAGGUUUCUCGUGCAGGUAUCACGGUACAACGGCUAUGCGCACUUGCACAUGCGGGCCAUUGUAAAUUUGAAGAUUUAGCGGAAUUAAUAAUUGAAAAUCAUGGUGUAAUAGUUUCCAUCGCAAAUUAAAAAAAAAUAAUUAUUAUGCAUAAAUAAAUUUGUUUAACUUGUCAGUUAUGUUCAA